rnacentral:rRNA from 1 species
UGCGUCGAACGAGAAAGUUCCCUUCGGGGAGCGAGUAAAGUGGCGCACGGGUGAGUAACACGUAGGUAAUCUACCUUCGGGUGGGGAAUAACCCAGGGAAACUUGGGCUAACACCUCAUAAUGCAGCGGCACCACAUGGUGACAGUUGUUAAAGCGGGGGAUUUUCGGACCUCGCGCCUGAAGAGGAGCCUGCGGCAGAUUAGCUAGUUGGUAAGGUAACGGCUUACCAAGGCGACGAUCUGUAGCCGGCCUGAGAGGGCGGUCGGCCACACUGACACUGACAUACGGGUCAGACUCCUACGGGAGGCAGCAGUCGGGAAUUUUGGGCAAUGGGCGAAAGCCUGACCCAGCAACGCCGCGUGAAGGAUGAAAUCCCUCGGGAUGUAAACUUCGCAAGAAUGGGAAGAAUAAGUAGGGGACAAUACCCCCUAUGAUGACGGUACCAUUUGUAAGCUCCGGCUAACUCCGUGCCAGCAGCCGCGGUAAUACGGGGGGAGCAAGCGUUGUUCGGAUUUACUGGGCGUAAAGGGCGCGUAGGCGGCCAGCACAAGUCGGUUGUGAAAUCUCCGGGCUUAACUCGGAAAGGUCAACCGAUACUGUGCGGCUAGAGUGCGGAAGGGGCAACUGGAAUUCUCGGUGUAGCGGUGAAAUGCGUAGAUAUCGAGAGGAACACCUGCGGCGAAGGCGGGUUGCUGGGCCGACACUGACGCUGAUGCGCGAAAGCCAGGGGAGCGAACGGGAUUAGAUACCCCGGUAGUCCUGGCCUUAAACGAUGGAUGCUUGGUGUCUGGGGUUUUAUAGUCCCCGGGUGCCGUACUAACGCGUUAAGCAUCCCGCCUGGGGAGUACGGUCGCAAGACUGAAACUCAAAGGAAUUGACGGGGA